rnacentral:rRNA from 1 species
GUCAAUGGACGCAAGUCUGAACCAGCCAUGCCGCGUGAAGGAUGAAGGUCCUCUGGAUUGUAAACUUCUUUUAUCUGGGACGAAAACGGGAUUUUUAUCUCAAUUGACGGUACCAGAGGAAUAAGAACCGGCUAACUCCGUGCCAGCAGCCGCGGUAAUACGGAGGGUGCGAGCGUUAUCCGGAUUUCGUGGGGUUAAAGGGUGCGUAGGUGGGCUUAUAAGUCAGUGGUGAAAUCUCCGAGCUUAACUUGGAAACUGCCGUUGAUACUAUAUGUCUUGAAUUAUCGGGAGGUAAGCGGAAUAUGGCAUGUAGCGGUGAAAUUCUUAGAUAUGACAUAGAACACCAAUUGCGAAGGCAGCUUACUACAUAUAAAUUGACGCUGAGGCACGAAAGCGUGGGGAUCAAACA